rnacentral:ncRNA from 1 species
AAAACGGUCCUUUUCAGGACCACCAAUAUCCGUUUAAAAACACAUU